UGCCUACCGGGCGGCAAAGGGGGUCGGCAAGAUGGAACGUUCGGUUGCUUUUGUGUAACACUAUCGUCGGGAAAGAGGGUGCCAGAAGGGAGUGGCGCGCAUAACCUUUUCUCAGCUUAAUUAUUACGCACGGUUGAGGGAAUUUGUCCCCCAAGAUUAAAAUCCUCCGCCGAGCAUCUCCUCUCUCUCGCGCUGCUGUGCUAUUCCGCAAGUCUCUCUCGCUGGAAAUGGAAACGGCGUCUUCCUCCACCGCCGUGCCGGGACGCGCCAACGCCCCCGCAACCAUCCACCGCAGUCGGAUCCUCUCCAGCAAGCUAUACUUCGAUGUGCCCUCCUCCAAGGUUCCGUUGAUCUACUCGACUUCCUACGACAUAGCAUUUGCUGGAAUUGAGAAGCUGCAUCCUUUUGAUUCUUCAAAAUGGGGUCGUAUUUGCAAGUUUCUGAUUAAAGAAGGUGUUUUAGAGUGGGUUCGAAUCGUAGAACCAUUAGAAGCUUCAAAAGAUGAUUUGCUUGUGGUUCAUUCGGAAGCAUACCUGAGCAGUCUUAAAAGCAGUUUAACGGUUUCCAUUAUUGUCGAGGUACCCCCUGUUGCAAUCCUUCCAAACUGUCUUGUGCAGCAGAAAGUGCUGUUCCCAUUCCGCAAACAGGUUGGUGGUUCAAUCUUGGCAGCUAAACUUGCGAUAGAGCGAGGAUGGGCCAUUAAUGUUGGUGGGGGAUUCCACCAUUGUUCAGCAGAGAAAGGAGGUGGAUUUUGUGCAUAUGCUGACAUUUCUCUUUGUAUUCACUUUGCCUUUGUUCGUUUGAAUAUUUCGAGGGUAAUGAUUAUUGACCUUGAUGCUCACCAAGGAAAUGGCCAUGAAAUAGACUUCUCUAACGACAGAAGAGUUUAUAUUUUGGACAUCUACAACUCUGGAAUAUAUCCUUUUGAUCUGGAGGCUAGGAGAUACAUUGACCAGAAAGUUGAAUUACUAGUUGAUAGAGUGGGACUAAAACAAAUGAGUAUUUGGAGCAAUUGGAUAAAGCACUCAAGGUUGCGAGAAAUAACUUCAAUCCUGAGUUGGUUGUGUACAAUGCUGGCACUGAUAUUCUCGAUGGAGAUCCCUUGGGCAGAUUGAAGGUCAGUCCUGAGGGAGUUUCAAUCAGAGAUGAAAAGGUAUUCAGAUUUGCAAGGGAAAGAAACAUUCCUCUUCUAAUGCUUACAUCAGGUGGCUAUAUGAAGUCAAGUGCUCGAGUUAUUGCAGAUUCAAUUAUCAACCUUUCAAAGAAAAAACUGAUAGAUUUGGAUAGCUCUCUUAGCAGAAAAUAAUGGUAGAUGUUUCUUCACUAAAAUGUAUAUCAUGAGAAAAGAAUGAUGAUCACAUGCGACAGCAAUGAUGUGUGAACAUGCAUAUCUGUAUAGAUAUAUCCAGAUGUUAACAUAGUUCACGUGUAAAUUAUUGACAAUCUUCACCGUUAUUGUACUAAAGUGGUGCAUAUGUCAAGUAGAUGUGGCUAUUGGAGGACUAUAUUAUCUUAGUGAUAUCAUCAAAUGAUACCAUGACAACACGCCCUUACUCAUUUUGUACAGUGUAUUUUUAUAGUGGAAGAAGCUUUCAAUCUAUGUA